GACGAACGCUGGCGGCGUGCUUAACACAUGCAAGUCGAACGGAAAGGCCCUGCUUUUGUGGGGUGCUCGAGUGGCGAACGGGUGAGUAACACGUGAGUAACCUGCCCUUGACUUUGGGAUAACUUCAGGAAACUGGGGCUAAUACCGGAUCGGAGCCCCUGCUGCAUGGUGGGGGUUGGAACGUUUCGGCGGUUGGGGAUGGACUCGCGGCUUAUCAGCUUGUUGGUUGGGUAGUGGCUUACCAAGUCUUUGACGGGUAGCCGGCCUGGGAGGGUGGCCGGCCACAUUGGGACUAAGAGACGGCCCAGACUGCUACGUGGGGCAGCAGGGGGGAAUAUGGCACAAUGGGCGGAAGCCGGAUGCAACAACGCCGCGGGCGGGAUGACGGCCUUCGGGUUGUAAACCGCUUUCGCCUGUGACGAAGCGUGAGUGACGGUAAUGGGUAAAGAAGCACCGGCUAACUACGUG
rnacentral:rRNA from 1 species